GAUCAACGCUGGCGGCGUGCAUGAGACAUGCAAGUCGAACGAAGGAUCGGGCUUGCUCGAUCCUUAGUGGCGGACGGCUGAGUAACGCGUAGGUGACCUACCCCGAAGUGGGGAAUAACUGCCCGAAAGGGUGGCUAAUACCGCAUGUGGUCGCACGUUCAUUCGUGCGAGUAAAGCCGCAAGGCGCUUCGGGAGGGGCCUGCGUCCGAUUAGCUCGUUGGUGGGGUAAUGGCUUACCAAGGCGACGAUCGGUAGGUGGUCUGAGAGGACGAUCACCCAGACUGGGACUGAGACACGGCCCAGACUCCUACGGGAGGCAGCAGUCGGGAAUUUUGCUCAAUGGGGGAAACCCUAAAGCAGCAACGCCGCGUGAGGGAUGAAGGCCUUCGGGUUGUAAACCUCUUUUGUCAGGGACGAUGAUGACGGUACCUGGCGAAUAAGCCACGGCUAACUACGUG
rnacentral:rRNA from 1 species